ACGGGAGGCAGCAGUGGGGAAUAUUGCACAAUGGGGGAAACCCUGAUGCAGCAACGCCGCGUGAGCGAAGAAGGUCUUCGGAUCGUAAAGCUCUGUCCUAUGGGACGAUAAUGACGGUACCAUAGGAGGAAGCCCCGGCUAACUACGUGCCAGCAGCCGCGGUAAUACGUAGGGGGCGAGCGUUAUCCGGAAUUAUUGGGCGUAAAGGGUACGUAGGCGGUUCUUUAAGCGUGAGGUGAAAGGCAUUAGCUUAACUAAUGUAAGCCUUGCGAACUGAAGGACUUGAGUGCAGGAGAGGAAAGCGGAAUUCCUAGUGUAGCGGUGAAAUGCGUAGAUAUUAGGAGGAACACCAGUGGCGAAGGCGGCUUUCUGGACUGUAACUGACGCUGAGGUACGAAAGUGUGGGGAGCAAACAGGAUUAGAUACCCUGGUA
rnacentral:rRNA from 1 species